CUUGCCGGCGCCCGCCGCCCGCCGCAGCCUGGGCGACUACUGGCUGAGCCCGCAGCGCCGCCACCCUCCGGGUGCCGCCUGGCACUGGCCCGCACGCAACCUGUUACUGCUGCCCCCGGCCACCGGCCUGGCCGACGUACCCUCGGCGCGCUGGCCCAGCUGCUACGGCGCGCGCCCGAGACUCACGUGGAAGCACCGGUGGCAGAAUAUUAACUACUAUUUUCUGGGCAAAAGGAAGCGACAUCUAGUUCCCUUGCGCCCGUGAGAGCCGGCUGGAGUACAGUGGCGUGAUCUCAGCUGACUGCAACCUCUGCCUUCCGGGUUCAAGCGAUUCUCCUGCCUCAGCCUCCGAAGUAGCUGGGAUUACAG
rnacentral:lncRNA from 1 species